UGGCGCAGAGAGGAGAGACAGAGCAGCAGCGGAGGUGUGAGCACUGGAUGAUAAAGGAGAGGUGAACUUAUGGAAAGAUUUGGGGGAGUGUAUCCACAAAGCUCCCUGCCACCCGCAUUGAUCAAUCUGCUGUAAGCCGAACAGAGGCGGGUGGAUUUCGUCUAUGCCCCGUCAGAAGCCGCACUGAAGUCCGCCUCCUGAGUGAGUGGGCGGUACGUACUGGCAAGGCAGAGAUCCAGGAGGGAGGUGGAGCUGGGAUACUAAGAGCGACGCGACCCUCCGGAGCUGCUGGAUAGAGGACACAGCCUCAUAGAGACUGAAGGGCAGCUGUCCUGGCCAAUAAUUGAGUUGGGAGGAGGAGUCGAGGGAGAGGCUAUUCCCCUUUCAGGCUGACAGAUGAAUACAAUACUUACCGGUGACGUUGUUUCCACAUCCAAGGAAGAACCUGCAGCGAAGAAAUAGAAGGUGUAAAAGGUAACGCCGUGAUAUGAGUGUACUCCGGUCUGUUGCUAUGGCGCCGGACGCCAGCGUCUGCAGAUGAUGUCAUUUUGGAUGAAGCAGGACGCGGCGGGCAGAUGACGCCAAGCAGAGUCGGAAGAGGUAAUAAAGCGCUGGAAUGCAUGAAACCCGGAAGUAUGCUUUCCAGUGACAACUUUCUGUUUCCGGACGGUUGCUGCAGGAUACCGGAUGUACAUUUUAAAGGACACUUCCGGAUGUGUUCCAAAUACUAGAAAUAGACCGCGGAAGUUGUAGUAAGACUCCAGCAUCAAUUACAAGUACCGGAAUGGACUUAUGGGACAUCUUGCUUUACCUUAAAUGUUUUUUUCUUGGACUUUCAAUGUUCCAUUUCGGACUUAUACAGUAGGCUGCUGAAAGGAUUAUAUAAAGUGCAAUGGCAACUAACUUUAUAUGUCAUUUUUCAUGCGUUUCUGUAUAUAUUUUUGUUUCAU